rnacentral:lncRNA from 1 species
AUACAUGUUUGAUGAAGCGGAACAAGAAAAUUGCAAGAAAGGUUCUAAAUGUAUUGCAUCCCUUUUAUACCAUGAAAUAAUGCAUUAUAUUUUUGUCCCUCGACCUGAAAUUCAAUGCGACAACAGUAGAGGUCAGAAUAAGAAUUUCAUUACUAUGGGUCUUAGCAUACAUUGUAAUCCUGGGAAAAGUGGAUAAAAUCUAUGUUCAUUUUCUAGUAGAGAGUUUUUCCAAAUUUUCUGCUAAUCUUUGGAAUGAUUUCU